UACGAAGGGAACUAGCGUUGUUCGGAAUCACUGGGCGUAAAGCGGGCGCAGGCGGACUAUCAAGUCAGAGGUGAAAUCCCAAGGCUUAACCUUGGAAUUGCCUUUGAAACUGAUAGUCUGGAGUGUGUGAGGGGGUAGCGGAAUUCCGAAUGUAGAGGUGAAAUUCGUAGAUAUUCGGAGGAACACCGGUGGCGAAGGCGGCUACCUGGCACACAACUGACGCUGAGGCCCGAAAGCGUGGGGAGCAAACAGG
rnacentral:rRNA from 1 species